UCACUUGAGGCUGAAAGGAAUUGCUCUCGGCAGUGGGCACGAAAGCAGAGGGUUGGAUGAUCCCUUUGAUUCCUGGAAACGAAAGUUAUAUCCGAAGGGCCGCCAUUCGAAAACCUGAUUUCAACGAUGGAAGGCACAGGAUCACCAAGACUUGGCUCAAUCUUCUCUUCCCCUUUGAGGCAGGAGAUCAAAAUUGGGGGGCAACGCCAGCUUUUUAAAACCCCAACUGCUAACUCCAAUCACUACACUGCUGAGUGUCACAGAAAAUAAAUGGAAAAAUGGGGUGAAUUUGGAGAGACACACCCA